UACUUACAAUUAGUAAGGAACCGAGUAUAAGCGAAUGAGAGAAACAUUGUGCCAAGCAGUGUAUUAUUCAACGCUAAACGCGUUGAACGUAGACUGAAGUAUCUGAAUCGGCGCUUACGGAAUGUACCACGCGAAAAUUUGAGAUGGAAAGAAUGGAAUAACAGUUUUCUCCCAAAGGAGUGGGCAACGUGCGGGCGGAAGUUGAGGAAGCGAAGAAAGAAAAAACGCGCGAAAUGAUGCGGUAGAUAAACGACAGGCUCGUAGAUCCGCCGUAGGAUAUCGCGCGAACUCAUUGCCUUUCAUGAAGCCAGCAAGAGUGUUUCCAAGACUGAUGGUCUCUCUCUCUCUCUCAAUUGCAGAUCCCAUCCAAUUCUUUUUCGUAAAGAAUUGGAUGCCCGAACGCGAAUUAUAAAUAAAGAUGGGAAACAAGGAAUAAAUGUAACCAGGCAGUAAGAUACGUUAUUCCUAAGAACUAAUUUCUCCAUUCUUAUCCGCCUAUACGUAGAUCGGAUGCCGAUUCUGUAAAGUAUUACAGUGUGCAGGUUGAAAACUUUUUGCAGAUUUUUUGCGCAACGAUGAGAGAAUAGAAUGAGAGAAGGCCGCGUCAUGUAAAACGAAGACACGUGUCAUGCAAACCUGAGACAGGUCCAAUAAUAAAGAUAAGUCGGACAGUUUCAAUCUGAUGCAACGUCUCGAGACGCAAAGAAUGCCGUCGCAAUGUCGCGACGACAUCUCCCGAAGAACAGCCUUUUAGAAAGACCCGGAGGAGACCGCUUACGUUUCGCGCGAAUUGAAUUAACUUUACGACUGCGUUUACAGGAACGUUCGCUUCCGUAUUAAUUAUAGCGGCGCAGGCUGAGAGCAGCAUCUGCCGUUGACGGCAUCGUCUCGUACGAGAAAGUGCGGGCAAGGAGAUAGGGCGUCUGAGGGCGGAUGGAGGGCGAGAGAACGGAAGUGCGAAAAGCUCUCCGUCGAGUAAGGAAAGCUCGGUACACCCCUCGGUGCACAAUAAAGAAAUUCCACGAUUUCCAGCGGAACGAUACCGGACGCGCGAGCGCGCGCGUUGUCAUCUUCGCAUACCACCAUCGUUUCGCUCGUUCGUUCGUUCGACGUUGAACGAAACGCCAGGCCCCUCGAGUUAAUGAAAUCCAUCGGCGCCAAGUCGAGCCGCGGCAAGAAUCGUCCCGCGCGCGUGGGAUGCGCUCCGUUAUCGUUUGAAAAAUCAAAAAUUACGAUCCGACGCACUUGUCUUUCACCUUCUGUCGAGCGAAAAUCGAGUUUGCUUCAAAACAUUUUUCAACUUUCUCUUCCCUUCGAAUUAAAUUGCGCGGAAUUACGCAAUUUAAUGCACGGGAUUCCUGUUCUAGGGAGGGCUAAUCCCUAUAGGUUAAAAAUAAUAUCAAAUGUGUGUCUGCAAACAACGUAAUAGUUUAAAAACUCGCUGCACUCAUAUGUAUUAUAUAGAAUGUUUUUCAUUUAAUUUUAUGUUGCGUUUUAUGUUUUAUGUUGUGUUAUCAUUUUGUAUUUAUUUUUAUUCUUGUUCAACGGUUUCAUUGACCUUAAAAUCCAAUUUUAAAGGCUUAAAGAUUUACUAAAAUCUUGUUAAAACUAAAAAAACCUAAAAUUUUAUGUCAAGCGUGAUCAAGCGUAUUGCGUUUGAUCUCGUUUGUCCGAACAUCGUGAUAGCGAGUGAUGGAGAGUUAAUGAUUUUGCGGGAUGACGCGAUUGGGUGUGCGAAGCUUCUCGCGAAUGCCGAGUGCUUUGAAAUUGAUCGUCAGUUGCCAGGAGCGACGUCGUUCGAUUAGGCAAACUAUCCCGAAAAAAUCGUGGUAGGCAGAAGCCGGCUCGUCGAUGGGGCCUUUGUCCCGUCCAAGACCAUGAUCUCUGUGUGAUAUUCAACGUGAGAACUGCAACGAUCAUGUUUCUGAUGAAGCGCGAUACACGGACGCAAUUGUGCUGGAAUCAUCACGCAACGAGAGACAUUGAGUGAAAUGUGCGAGAGACAUAAGGGACGAGAAGCGAGCUAAAAUGGACGAUGGACGAAAUAUCCGAGCUGAUGAUGCGACACUGCGGUCGCUGUUUCGUCACGGGAAUUAAUUUCGCGACUGCAGACAAGAUGCGCCCGACCGUCCUCGUGGCGACGACUUGGGGCGAGACCGAGAGACGGAUCCGUAACUCUCGCGAUAUCCUCGCGUACUUGCAGAUUCAUCUCAGCAUAAACUUGAACACUGGUAAAAUGUCAUUGACAGCAAAAAGCACGUAUAUUACGAGGAAGGAACAUCAUCGUUUGUCCUCGUGAACAGUGGAUCAUAACUGUGAGCGAAAUCCUAAACUGAAAUUGAAUUAUCUAUUAAAAAAUUAAAUUAAAAUAAAAUAAUAAAAAUGAAUCAAGUUAAGUAAUAUUAUCAAGAUUUUCAAGUCAAUAAACCCCAAAGUGGGACAAACUCCUAGGGGGCUUUAAUUUCUUUGUACAUACACAGGUAUUGGUAUCUUUCGGUAUUAUAUAAAUCGUGUAACGUAUUUGCAACAAGAAUGUGUCUUAUUUCUGCCACGAAUCCACGAAGAAAUAAAUUCAAAAAUUAUUAUCCAUCAUUCACGCUUAUUUAUGCUU